CCUUCAGCCACACGUCCUCUUUUAGUAUGGUGCUUUUACUGACACGUGGCAUGCUCUUUUAAGACUAUUCUCUCGAUGUAUUGCAAUGGGCUUCUGCCAUUGAUUUUUUUUUACACACGCUGGUCCAGAUUUUUUUAGGGUUUCUUUCAAGUCGUCAGUCACCGUACCCCUUCGGAUCUCACCAAAUCCAAUCAACAUCUAUGUAACGGCUUCGAUUUUCCUUAAUAUACUACAUUAAUCCAGCAUUGGCGUCGUUUCCACCUCUCCUCCCACUCUUUCACAAUCGGCCCAAACAUCAUCGAAGGUGACCGAUUGAAGUUCCCACAGCUUCACAGCUCCAAAAUCUGAAAGAACAAUCUCUGUCAAGCAUCAAUUUCAACUAUGGAAUGGGUGAUAGCUUUCUUGUCCUCCAGAUUAUAGAGAAAGUUUGUGUCGGACAAAUAAUCUUGAAGCUUGCUUUGGAGAAUGGUUGUGGCAUACUCAGGAUGAUCCGCACGUUGGGCUCUGAAUCUACAAGACUUUCAGAAAUCAGUAACAACUCAUAAGUGAAUUCUUAUCAAUGGAAUAUCUGCCAAGGUGAGAUUAUUGAUCUCUUGAUCUGGAAGUAGUGUUGCACCUUCGACAGAAACUGGAAUGUAAAGGUUGUAGACUUUGGGCUGUCAAAGUGGAAGAACGCAACAUUCUUAAGCACUAGAUCCGGGAAAGGAACACCACAGUGGAUGGCCCCUGAAGUUCUAAGGAGUGAACCUCCGAAUGAUUAGUGUGAUGUGCUCAGCUUUGGAAUCAUCUUAUGGGAGCUAAUGACUACUUUAAUUCCAUGGGACCGUUUGCGAUUGUUACAUAAACAUUGUUCUAACUUUUUAAUUUCUUCUUGGUGACAGUCAACGCUAACGCAAGGAUCUGUUGGGGCGAACCAUCAGCUAAGGUUCAGAGCAAACUUGAUGUUGUUGCAAGUAGAGCAAACCUUAGAUUUUCUGAUUUAAUGAACGUCUUUGCUUUCCUUCUCUUUUCAGGUUGCCAGGUCAUGGGCAGACCCAGGAUCAUCUACUUUGAAGGUCGUUCAUGCACAGAACAUUGAACCAACGACCAUCUCUGAGCUUAACCAGUUUAUUACGACCGCUGAUUCACAGGUGAAGUAUCCUUACUUAUAUCUACAAGUUGCAAAUUCUAAAUUAAUGAAACAUGUUGAGCUUAUUCUUGGUAACUAUUAGAAUUCAAAGGUCAGUAGAAUUCAAAGAACGUGUUAUGGAAACUAUUAGAAUUCAAAGGUCAGUGAAAGCGUCCUGUGUGAACAUUUCUUCAUAGGUUUCAUCUCUAAUAAAGAUUAAAACGAUUAACUCCACUUCUAUCAUUACUCCUGUAUAGGGAUGUAUCUAUUGUUUGCAUGGUGUGUUCGACGCACUAGCAGUAAUAUUUCAUGAAAAGUUACUCAGCUUCAACGUGGGCGUUAAAAGUCACUAUAGGAGAAAGGGGAAGAAGCACUUGAGCUGAAAGAAGAAGGUUCAGAUUUGCACUAGGAACAGUACUGGUGCCAAGUUAUGAGAAAGAGGUAAACACUUCUAAUAUCAAAGAAUUUAAGAGAGACCAUACGCUAUUAAGUAUGUGUGGUUGAAGUUUCAUGCCUUUGUAUGUUAUGUUCUCCUCGAAUCCAUCAACUAGAUUGCUAGCGUAUUGAAGAAGUUAAUAGAUGAUGGUUUGACUUCUUUCUACGACCAAAUUUUUUUCUUCAGUGCAGGUCUUUAUUUAGAUUGUAGUUCCCAUCACCUAUGACUUUUUCUAUUUAUAUUACACUAGCAGCAAGUGUUUUCUGAAGAAUUUAACAGGAAACAUCAAGUGAGAAAUCGUCUAAAAGAGUGAGCAUCAAGAAUUUUUUUGCUUUUGACUAUGUAAUUAAGUUGCAUUACACUUUGUUGUAUGACUGUAUCAACCAUUAAAUCACUAUGAAUUCUCAAAUAUAUAACUGGGUCUGUUAUUUUUCUUCAGAUCUGUUACUGGUGAUAACUUUUUUUAAUAAAGUAAGGAUGAGAUAAUUGAGAAAAAAAGUAAGAUGAGAUAGAUCUAUAAGGUAGUAGUUAACUGUUCGAUUUUGAACAUGUGAAGAUAUAGUUUUGGGAAGUAGAUGGUGUGAUUUUCAGUAGAGAAAAACAAGAAUUUGUACACAAACUAAAGAAAGGAAUACUGAUGAUUGACGUUGUGAGCAUUAACCGUAAAGCAAAUGGAAUCAAUUUUUUAUUGGUUUAUGAGAUGAAACUCAUCUCAUGUAUCAGUUUUAAGGAAGUGAAGCGAAUCAAUAUUUGAGAGGGCCAGAGGCGAGGAUGAAAAUUUUGAAAGUGGAUAUGUAACAACCGCAAAUUAUUUACCAUUCAUCACUCUAUGAUUAAAAUAACGCACUUUCGAAACGAAGCAAAACAAAAAGUAAAUAAGCAAUUUUUUUUUAAUACAUGCCAAACAUAGAAAACGUUACUAUCAUUAUCCUUAUAUAGAAAACAUAGAAAACGUUACUAUCAUUAUCCUUAUAUCAAACACAGCGGAUCAUUAACAUAACACAGCGGUUCAUUUAAAACCGCACCGCAUGCACAUAUAUUUUAUCUUUUAAUAAUAAAAAUUUGUUUAUAUGUUCAGUAUUAAAAUCUGACUCUUAGAAAUAAAAAUAAUAGUUACUCUUACUUUAGAUUUUCUUCAGCUAUAUCAUAUUGUACAAUAGGGAUAAAAAAAAUAUAAAUUAUUACAUUUUUUAUCAACGAUGUUCAGUAUGUGUCUAACAAAAAAAUGUGUGAUCUUUUCAACUCAAACCACACCAUUUAAUGAAAUUUACGAUAUGAUCUCAGAAUAAACAUAGAUAAAAGUACAUUUUCAAAUGUUUUGUAAAAUUAAAAUAGUAUUAGUGUAAACUAACCCGCCCGUAGGGCGGGCCAAACCCUAGUAAUAUUAUAUUAGCUAGAUAUUUCAUGGGAACAUCAUGCCGUAAAGGAGGUACAGCUGUACUGCCCGCCACCCGGGUUCGAGUCUUGGCCACAACGGAUUUAACAUCCCUUCCGUUGGGGCGCUGGACCCCUUUCGGGGGGAUAGUUGGGAAUGUGGCUGCCCAGAUACCAGAGUUAUCAAAAAAAAAAAAAAAAAAAAAACAUCAUGCCGUAAAGUUGCUCUAAGUAUCCCUAUAAUGCAUCAUGUUAUUUUUUUACAAAUUUCAUCGUGGUUCUCUCAAUGUUGCGUUAGAUACUUAGUUAUGCAGUUUAUAUGUUAAAACUAACUAUCAACAGAGUUGUAUUAUUUGAAUUGUGUUUAACAAAAUGUAAAACAUAACUACAUGGCCGGCCUAAGUUACAAAAAAAAUACAUGGCCGGUCCUUUUGUUCCUCAAGGAGUAAAAGUAUUGAUUGCAAAAACAGGACUCGAUCGAAUUUUUUUUAAAACUUAAUCUAAGCGUUUGUCUAUCAAAGCUUGAAGAUUGUAGAAGUUUGGCUAGCCUUUAUUAAGAAAAUUGCUAUGAUUUUCCUUUUUUUUUUGUUCCUUAUAAUGUCACUAUGCCAUAGAAAUUUGGCUAGCCUUCAUUAAGAAAAGUGGCUAUGAUUUUUUUUUUUGUGCUAGUAGGUUCGUGAAACGAAAUCAUAUAUGUAAUAUGUAACGGAGUUUCUCCACGGCGGCGAUCCACCGUUAGCUCUCAUCCAUUUGCCGCACCAAGAUUUCAGCUUCACGGACACCCCAUUUCCCUCCGGUUCCCAGUGCGUUUGCAUAUCCAUAGGGUUGUUAGACGACUGCGUUUGAGUCACUUUCUCAACGGCCAUACCUAACAGUAACGGUUUACUGUUCGCCGUUAAGUACGUGCCGUGACAGCUUUUUAAUCUGAUCAGGUUCGGUUUACCGACGACGGUCUCCACCGUCCAAACGGAGAGCCGUGUAUAUCCUCCUUUUCGGCUUUGACGGAUGUGUUUUUGGUCGCUCUCGGCGACUAAAAACUUAUCAAGAUGGCUCCGCAACUUAACGGUGUUGCCAUUGGUGAAUAACUCCAUUUCUUUUGAGGUUUGAAGAAGAGACCACAACAAGGAGAGUUUUUUUUCUUGGUUUUGUGAUGGAAGGAGAGAUCUGACCCUGAGGAGGAAGAGGAAGGCUUUAUGGUUGUUUAUAUAGGUUAAUAAUUAAAAUGGGACAUAAAAAGCCUGGCUAAAAGGGAACUACUGUAAGUUAAUAUCCGGAGGUAGUAUUCAGUGUGCAAUUAUUUAGAAAAUUUUCAAUUGAAAUGAUGAAACAACUAACGUUAAAUAUUAAUCAAGUGUGAAAGUUGGAAGGAAAUCAACCAGUAAAUAAAUGUAAUAUUUCAAAAGAAAAUAUACUGUGGGAGGUUCAUCACCUCGUAACUUAUCGUACACUUACCUCACGCGCAUGAUGUUGAAGACUUCGCAAGAAAAUGUCUUAUAAAAUAAUAUCAUACAGUGUGUCGAGUUAUCUAUGAAUCACAAUGUCACAUCAAUAACUUAAGUUUUUUUUUUGAAAAAGAAAAUCAAUAUCUCAAGUUAAACCGUUGAUACUAGUAUAUACAGACAUAUCAUAUCUCUUGUUGGUUUGCAAUGAUUUAUAAUUUCUCUUUCGUUUCAACUGUUUUCUAAUGCACCAUCAGAAAUCUAAAUUGAAAUUUGAAAAUAAAAAGCUGGUAUCCAAACCAUUAUAAAUUAAGGAUGAAAUAUAAUCUUAUUGAUCCAUCCUGAUUAUGUAAUAUUGAUGAAAGACAAGUUCAGCUAGGCAAUUAUUUUAAUUGUGGCUCCUGAACAUAUAUAACUGAAUAAAUGUUAUAUUUUUGUUUAAAAAUAUAUAUUGUAUUAAAUGAAGUACAAAUACUAAAAAUAACUUUUUAUGUCUAAAAACUAUUAUCAAAACUAUAAAUUAAAAACACUUCAAACUAUUAUAGAAUAAAAUGGGUUAUGAAGUAUUUGAUAAAUUUUAAAAUUAUUUAGAUUUUUAAAAAUAUUUUAUAUUUUGGAACAUAAAAAAACUCUCUUAAUCACUUUACAUUUUCGAGACGGGUGGAGUGUUUCAUAUAAGAAAUCAUAAUACUUUUAAUGUUCAUAGUAGAGUGUUCUGAAAAAAAUGUUCAUAUUAUAUAGUUUUAACUUUUUUCGAGUAACAAUAGAGAAAACAAUGGAUGAUAGACGAUCAUGAGAUCAGCAUUGUCGCUGCCUCUUAGGUCACCCCUUAACCCAAGAAAACAAUAAAAACAAUAAUAGAGAAGAGAGAAGUCCAAGAGGCGAGUCUUGGGUAAAGGUUGGAAGGCCUGCCUCUUAGAGACACGUGUCAAGCUGAGAGAGGACCAAAAUAUAAGUGGGUCUCUCUCUCUCGAUCCUCUCUCUCCAAACACGAGUGCUUCAUCGUCCUUUCCACCAUCUCUGUGCAGGAAUCUGGGUAUUAAGGAUUAUUGGAUUUUUAUGAAUCCAGUCGGAAGGAUCUGGUAAAGAGCUUAGCCGUCGUAGAAUGUCUUGGUGCUCUUGGUUUGAACCUCGAAUCCACUGGCCCUGGUGUAUUUGAUGCUCUGUUUUCAAGUUUCUCCAUGAUUCUUGUGACAGAGGGUUUGAGUAUUGAUCAUAGUCUGAGAGCAAGAGAAACCACCAAAACAUCAGCCUUUGUAGCAGGGUUCGAGUAUUGAUCAUAUGUGUUGAGCGAGACUAAACCAUUACAGAUACAGGCUUCAGCCAAGAAAGACAUUGCCUCCACCAAAGUUGCCAAUUGAUCACAUAACCAAGCUCUGUCGUGGGGAUUGGAUGAUUAAAAGAUCGUCAAGUUCUAACCUAGUGCAGCAUCAACGUCCAUUACAAAAGGUUGUAUUAUCAGAAACUUAUAUAAAUGAUAUGGAUAUUAAAAGUGUAUUCACAAGAUCAAAUGUUCCUUCUCAAGUUCUUUCAAUUUUUUUUUGUAAGAACUCUUACUUAAAAACCUUGCAAUGGAGGACAAAAAUUUAAGUAUCU